UACGUAGGGUGCAAGCGUUUGUCCGGAAUUAUUGGGCGUAAAGAGCUCGUAGGCGGUCUGUCGCGUCGGCUGUGAAAACUCGGGGCUCAACCCCGAGCCUGCAGUCGAUACGGGCAGACUAGAGUGCGGUAGGGGAGACUGGAAUUCCUGGUGUAGCGGUGAAAUGCGCAGAUAUCAGGAGGAACACCGGUGGCGAAGGCGGGUCUCUGGGCCGAUACUGACGCUGAGGAGCGAAAGCGUGGGGAGCGAACAGG
rnacentral:rRNA from 1 species